GACGAACGCUGGCGGCGUGCCUAAUACAUGCAAGUAGAACGCACAGUUUAUACCGUAGCUUGCUACACCAUAGACUGUGAGUUGCGAACGGGUGAGUAACGCGUAGGUAACCUGCCUGGUAGCGGGGGAUAACUAUUGGAAACGAUAGCUAAUACCGCAUAAUAUUAAUUAUUGCAUGAUAAUUAAUUGAAAGGUGCAAUUGCACCACUACCAGAUGGACCUGCGUUGUAUUAGCUAGUAGGUGAGGUAACGGCUCACCUAGGCGACGAUACAUAGCCGACCUGAGAGGGUGAUCGGCCACACUGGGACUGAGACACGGCCCAGACUCCUACGGGAGGCAGCAGUAGGGAAUCUUCGGCAAUGGACGAAAGUCUGACCGAGCAACGCCGCGUGAGUGAAGAAGGUUUUCGGAUCGUAAAGAUCUGUUGUAAGAGAAGAACGGGUGUGAGAGUGGAAAGUUCACACUGUGACGGUAUCUUACCAGAAAGGGACGGCUAACUACGUG
rnacentral:rRNA from 1 species